UACGGAGGGUGCGACCGUUAAUCGGAAUCACUGGGCGUAAAGCGCGCGUAGGCGGUCUGUUAAGUGGGAUGUGAAAUCCCCGGGCUUAACCUGGGAAUUGCAUUUCAAACUGGCCGACUAGAGUACGGUAGAGGGAGGUAGAACUUCCUGUGUAGCGGUGAAAUGCGUAGAUAUAGGAAGGAAUACCAGUGGCGAAGGCGGCCUCCUGGAUCGAUACUGACGCUGAGGCGCGAAAGCGUGGGGAGCAAACAGG
rnacentral:rRNA from 1 species